rnacentral:rRNA from 1 species
AUUGAACGCUGGCGGCAGGCCUAACACAUGCAAGUCGCACGAGUGGCGGCCGGGUGAGUAAUGUCUGGGAAACUGCCUGAUGGAGGGGGAUAACUACUGGAAACGGUAACUAAUACCGCAUACCAUCGGAUGUGCCCAGAUGGGAUUAGCUAGUCGGGGGGGUAAAGGCUAACCUAGGCGACGCUCCCUAGGUGGUCUGAGAGGAUGACCAGCCACACUGGAACGGUGACACGGUCCAGACUCCUACGGGAGGCAGCAGUGGGGAAUAUUGCACAAUGGGCGCAAGCCUGAUGCAGCCAUGCCGCGUGUAUGAAGAAGGCCUUCGGGUGGUAAAGUACUUUCAGCGGGGAGGCGUUACCAGCAGAAGAAGCACCGGCUAACUCCGUGCCAGCAGCAGCGGUAAUUC